AGCAUAAGCAUAUCAAAUAAGGGAAAUUCAUUAAAAUAUUGAAGGGUAGUAUUAUCAUUUUAAAUGACAAGGGAGGUAUGCGCAAUUUUUCAAAUUUCAUGGGAGCUCAGUGAAAUUGUCAAAAAACCUCAGGGGAGGUUUCUGAAAUUAUCCCAAUAUUUAUACCUAAAUCAUCAGUCAGCCAGAAUGCUCAUCCAUUGAAACACACAUGAGGUAGCCUCAGCUCCACAGCCAAGUCCUAG
rnacentral:lncRNA from 1 species